rnacentral:rRNA from 1 species
UACGUAGGGGGCAAGCGUUGUCCGGAAUUAUUGGGCGUAAAGAGCGUGUAGGCGGUCCGGUAAGUCAGCUGUGAAAGUCAAGGGCUCAACCCUUGAAUGCCGGUUGAUACUGUCGGGCUAGAGUCCGGAAGAGGCGAGUGGAAUUCCCGGUGUAGCGGUGAAAUGCGCAGAUAUCGGGAGGAACACCAUGGCGAAGGCAGCUCGCUGGGACGGUACUGACGCUGAGACGCGAAGCGUGG